rnacentral:rRNA from 1 species
GUCUACGGCCAUACCACCCUGAAUGCACCCGAUCUCAUCUGAUCUCAGAAGCUAAGCAGGGUCUGGCUUGGUUAAUACUUGGAUGGGAGAAUAUAGGAAACUUGAUUUUUUUGUUU